rnacentral:lncRNA from 1 species
CGGUGUAUCCACCACGUGGCCCGGAAUCCACCACGUGGCCCGGUCAAGCCACCACCUGCAAAGAAGCCACCUCCGGGUCCAGUAAUGCGCACAAGUGGGAUUGUGAAAUCCCUUGAGAAUGGAACACUACGGAUUAGAAGCCAGUAAAGUGUCGACCGACAGCUAGUAGUAUCUUUAUUAACAUGGUAAUCUGAUAUGAGAAUAUUUUAUGUAAGAAAAAUAAAAUAUGAAGUUCUCAUAACAUGUCAACAACCAUAUAUUGGUAUGAUCAUGAGGUUUUAAUUUCUGUCGGGUUUUAUAUUGUAUUAUCGUAAUGAAGUGGAUGCAAAAUAAAUAAAGUGUUUAAUUAGCUAGACUAUAGUCUGGCUAGCUAUCUUCUUUGUUGUUCAUAUGAGUGUUAUAGAUGCCCAUUAUUAUCUUUUCUUUUGUUUUAGUUUUAGGGAUUGUAAUUAAGUGGUGCUUGAGAUAUGAAAAUGAUUGUUUUUUUUAAAGUGUUUUUUACUUGAAAAUAUAUUAAAAUAAUAUUUUUAAAAUUAUUUUUAAUAUUAUCAUAUUAAAAUAAUCUGAAAAAUAAUAAAAAUUUAAUUUAAAUAAAAAAAUCAAAUUUUUAAAUGUAAUUUUUAAAACAUGGGCUUUCCAUCCUAAUAUGUCACCGACGCAAAUCUGAGCUGUUUGUGGGUGUUCCUCUAAGACUAUAGGAAAAUAAUGAAACAAAAAAAGCCUAUAUCGAACAUUCUUGUUAAUCCAAGCAGGAAACUUCAGUACGGUUUUGUGUCAUCCUCCUCCAUGAUUAUGCUUUUACAAUUAUGAUUAUUUUUUUCCAAUUUCCAUGAAUUGAUGCAAUCCAAGAUUUUGAAGAUAAUAGUAGGUAAAUACCUUUUUGAAGAUAAAAUCCAUAGAACUCGUAUUAAUAAAAUUAUAUGUAAUCAUUUGAUUAAUAAAUUUUUUAUAUAAUAUAUCCUUUAAAAUUUGUGAGCUUCAACUCUAAAAUAAGCUCAACUAACCUUUCUGAGUCUUGAAUUGAUGAAAACAAAAGGCAACCAUCCGGCUGCCAAUCCUCCUCAAGCAACUUUUCUUUAAUAGAAAAGGCCCAAACAUCCUUAAUUUGAGAAAGGAAAUAAUAAUAAAAAAAACAAAUGAUUUAUAUCUUCGCACUCCAUUACCACAAUGAAUACAAAUUGUAUUCAGUUUGCGUACUUUGCAUAACAUAUAUGUCAUCUCAGAAACUCUAGCCUGUGAAGGCAAUCUUGUGUUCCAAAUUCCAUCAGUAAAUAUAAGAAUUCUGAUGAUCGAGAUAUCUUACCAUUUUCAACGGUCUGAUGAAAUUGCUUCCAUACAAAAUAAUGUUAUAAGCUUGAGUAAUUUUCACCAGUUUCUAGAACAACUAUUGGGUGCUUUAUGGCUCAAAACUUCUGUCGAAAUGGUGAUUAUAUCAUCUUUCAGCAGUUCUUGGAUUAGCAGUGUUAGGGCUGUCCUCACGAAACGUUGAAGUUUAUAAAUAAUAUUUUUCACUGUGUCUUAUGUCUAAUUGAGAAUGGAAAGUAUAAUUUUAGGUUUUUUCCAUUCUAUUUUUAUGAUUCAUCCGGGAGAUAUAACUGGACAUUAAAAAUCUUUACCUUAUACACAUAGAAUAUAUAUUUUUAUUAAUUAAAAACCUCAAGAGUUUGUUAUUAUUUUCAUCUAGUGUCAUAUCAAAAAAUCAUCUUAACUCAAUAGCUUAAUUUGUUAUGUGAGGUCUUAUAAUAUAAUUUAUAUUAUUCUUUAAUAUACUCCCUUAAAUGAAAGUUUUUUUGGACUUCAAACUAACACAAGUCUACGUAUAUAUUGUGCUUAAUUAUUAUUAAAUAAAUGAGGAUUAUAAGAUUUGAACUCGUGAUCGUUUGUCAUCAAAACUUUGAUAUCAUAUUAAAAAAUCAUUUCAAACUAAUAGUUUAAACGGUUAGAUAAAAUUUUAGAAUAUAAUUUAUAUUAUUUUAGAUAAAUAGAAUUGCAACCAUACUUUUCAAAGGUGGCUUAUAGAAUAAGGCAAAGAAAUGAGAAGGAACACUUUGCUUAAAAAGGUUUAUUAUUGAAUCAAAGUAUACAUUUUUCUACAAUAAUGCUAAAGUAAUUUAGUCAAAAUAAAUCUUUACAGAUCUUCUUUACAGCUAAUAGGAGGCCUUGCAUCAGUUGCAUGUAUAUCCCGUAACCAUUAUCAUCGACUUUUGUGGCAUGUUUUUCUGGAUUAAACUUUUGUGGCAUGUUUUUCUGACAAUCUUCAUCACAAAUUAGGUGGCAUGAUAUUGUUGACUUUCUUUCGCCACCACUUUGUAUGUAAAAUAGUUUUUUAAUUAGGCUAUCUUCGGAACUUUUUCAUGUUUAUUUAGUAAUUCAAAAGGUGAUUCCUAAAAAAUAUUUUCGAGUAAAAAUAAAAUGAUUUGGUUUAAUUUUAAAAAAAUUUGAAUAGAAUAGGAUGCUUUUCAGAAGUGGUAUAAAAUUUAAAAAUAUAAUAUUAUUUAUUAAUUAUAUAAAAUUUGAUUUUCAAUAUUUUUAUUAUAUAUUUUAUUUUAAAUCUUUUUUGUUCAAUUUCAUUUUUUAAAAUUUGAUUUAAUUUGAUUUUUAUAUCAAUUUUGAUCCUUAUUUUUUUAUUGUUAUUUUUUUCUCUUACUCUUUUUUUAAUUAAAUUUUUUAAUAUAUCAGAUUUAGUUUUUAUUCUUUUAAUUGCUAUUUAUUUUAUUUGAAAUAAUUAUGAAAUAAAAGUUUUUUUUCAAUUUAAACUAUUAAAUUGAGAUAAUUCUUUGACAUGCUAAAUAAGUUCUUUCAUACUUCCACCAUACGUGGAUAGAAUCCACUCCUACUUUUCAAAGUUGGCUUGUUCAAUAAUGCGAAGUAUUUGAUACGUUCGUUAAUUAUCUUGGGCACGGGAGGAAUAUAUAGUUCCCUUCAAGAAUGGUUCCCUUCGAGUGCUGCUAAAAAUCAUGGUGGCUAUAAGUAAGAGCUUCUGCUGUCUUUAUCAAUAUGUAAAAUCAUGAGAACUAUUUAUGUUAGUAUUUAAUAAUUUUCUAAGAGUUACUAAAGUUUUAAAAGAUACCAAUUGUCCCAUCAUAGACGAGUGGUCUUCCCAUUUCAAACGGUUCAAUGAAUUUAUUUUUAUAAUAUUAGAGAAUAAUAUAAAUUAUAUCUUGAGAUUUUAUCUAAUAGCUUAGAUUUUUUGGUUGAAUUGGUUCUUUGACAUGGUAUCAAAACCUUGAUGACCAAGUAAUCACGAGUUCAAAUCUCGCCACCCUUAUUUAUUUGAUAAAAAUUAAAGAUGAUGUAAUAUGAGCUGAUGCCCAAAAAACUUUCUCUUGAGGGGGUGUGUUUUAAAGAAUAAUAUAAACUAUAUCUUGGAACCUCGCAUGACAGCUUAAACUCUUGGAUUGAAUUAAUUUUUUGACACGUACAAAUGUUAUAAGCUAGAGUAAUUAUCAUCUGUGUCAAGAAUUGUAAUUGGGUGCUUUAUGGCUCCAAAAACUACUGCAGAAACGUAACUACAUCAUCUUUAAGUAUAUUGGCUCCUGCUCUACAACUGAUUAAUAUUUUUUUUUAAUGUAAAAAAAUAUUAAGAAUGUAAUAAAUGUUUUAUAACCUGAUAGGAUAUUUUUUUUUUCAUUCUUAUCUUAAAACUAUUUCCUUGAUUUCAUCUUGCUUAUUAUUGUGUAGGAUUUAUCUAAUGGGACAAUCCGCUGGUGCACAUAUUUCUGCUUGUACCCUGUUGGAGCAAGCAAUAAGAGAAGCUAAGGGAGAGGAGGGGAUCUCCUGGAGUGUCUCGCAGAUAAAGGCAUAUUUUGGUUUAUCUGGAGGGUAAGCUUUCAUCUGUUACUAUUUCAUGAAUCUUGUGGAAGUUCACUAAAAUCAAGGAAUGCAUUAUUUACCAUUUACAAGUGGAAUGAGUUAUUGAGAGUAAGAGUCACCAAUGUGAUUUCUGUUUCUUUCAGAAGAUCCCUACUAUUUACUGGUUCGUUUUGCUUAUAAUGAGUGGUUUCGUUAAAAAGAGAGAAAUAUGUGCUUAUGAUAUUACCAAAUUGUGGGAUCAAUGGUUAUGUUUAAACACCUUAGCACUAUAAACUGUUUUCCUAACUACUUUAGCUGCGUAUAUAUUUCAACAAUCUCAUGAUAGUGAGUAGAGUCAUUACCUCUGCCAGUUCCACUAGCAACUAAGCAUCUGUGUGUGCUCUGUUCAUAAAUGGCACUCAAUCCAGCAUAAGGACAUCAAUCAACGGAAUUUCCUUUGCAGUACUUUGUUCUCUGCUAUGUUAUCAUUUUCUUUUCGAAUUUUGGUCAUCUUGUUUUAUAAACUAUUGAUCAAAAUAACUUGGAAAAUAAAGAGCGAUGUCUAAGAGAAAACACUGUCUGGUUCAGUACGCUACAAAUUACUCAUGAGUCAUUGGUAUAUUCGAUGAUAUAUAGAGGAUUUUGGGUUUCGACAUCUGUAAUUUGUUUGUUUCAGCAUCUCUUUCUUAUCUGCUUGUUUAUGGCAUUAUGGUCUAUAAUUCAUACAUGGAUUACCUGGAAACACUGAACAGGUACAAUUUAUGCAAAUUAGUCGAUCAUUUCAACAACCGUGGCCUGUACCGUGCUCUUUUUCUAAGGUACCGUUUGUUUAUAAGCUCACUGGAUGCUGAUCAAUAUUUACUGAUGAAUUAUGCUAGUAUGUAAUUAUUGCCUAAGGUUAUUUUUCCUGAAUAAGGUUUUUUUCUGACAUGUGGUUACAGCAUGAUGGAAGGUGAAGAAUCCUUGCAAUCCUUUUCUCCUGAACUUAGAAUAGAAGACCCAAGCAUUGGAAAUGCUGUUUCUCUUCUGCCUCCUAUUAUUCUCUUUCAUGGAACAGCAGAUUAUUCAAUACCAUCUUCUGCCAGGUUAGAAUUUCUUGUUUUGGGCAUCAAUGAUGUGCUUCAUAUUACAAAGAUAUAUAAGUGGAUUAUAGUUCAAUAGACAUCGAGUUUGAUAUCAUUAUUCCAUUCAAUGCCUUACUUGUAUGAGAAAAAAAAGGGUUAAUUUAAUUUAGAAAUAAUCAGCCUCCUUAAUGUCUCAGAUAUCCAUACAAUUUCAAUCUGAAAAUUAUGAGGACAAUGAAAUUAGAGAUGAAGUUGCCUCAUAAUCCAUUUGGAUUUAGAUAUUCUAGUUAGAAAUUUAACAUUAAUUUCAAUUUCCUGGACAAUUCACUACGUUGUAUUCACGUAUCUUUUUUUUUAUUCUGUUUGCAGUAUAGAUUUUGCAGCUGCUCUUCAAAGGUUAGGAGCACAAGCUGAGCUCAUUUUAUUUGAUGGAAAAACCCAUACAGACUUGUUUCUUCAAGUAAGUGCUGACAAUGUAUUGUUUUAUUGUUGUUAUGAUUGGUUUAAUGCUCUCAGCUAAAUUGUUUAAUCAAUCAAAUCCUGCUACCACUUCAUUAGAUGCACUAAUAUUCUGUUUCUAAUCACCUAGAUCAACCUGAAUCUCAUUUAAAUUGGCUUAACAUCAUGAUGUUUAGGCAUAUUGACAACUAAUAAUCUCAUGUACUUGGCUGUUGAAACUCGUUUAUGACACUGAGAAUCCAACUCAUCCUAAUGAUUGGGUCACAUCAUUCAGGAUCCUCUAAGAGGUGGUAAGGAUGAAAUGUUCAGCCAUCUGGUCGCUGUGAUACAUGCUGGUGAUGAGGAAGCUCUAGCCAAGGAUGCCACGGCACCUCCGAGAAGGCGACUAGUUCCUGAGGUUCUGCUAAGAAUGGCCAGCCAUAUCAGCCCUUUCUAAGGUUUGUACACCAAUACAUUUACAUUUACAUCCUAUUUUAUUUAAUGAUGUUGACAAUAUCUUGUUCCUAGUCAACCUCCCCUGCGUUGACAACUGCAAGCUAAUUAAGGACCGAUCUUCCAACAAUUGAAUGAGGAGUUCUAGACCUCCAAACAAGAUGAAGUUUGUUUCUAAAGGUAGAUAGUUAUCUCUAUCUACACGAUUCAUGUUUGCCUAUGACAUGUUUAUAUCCUAUUUUUCACGAUGAUCUCAUCAAAGUAGCCCACUCAAUCAACCAUGACUAAAUAAGAAAACCCCAUGUUUGAGUAGACUUCAUGGCUGCCUUAUCCUGAUAGGUUCGAGCUCAUAAAAGAAAAAAAUGAAUUAGAAUGCACAUUUCUAGGGAGGUUAGAUGAUAGAAUGAGUAACAAUCUUCUAUAAACCACGCAUCUUGUGCAAAACCAUCAUGAUUUUGCAACUUCUAGUUUUGGUUUGUUUAUAAAAGGGCAAGUGCUAUUAAACCAAAAUGGAGGUCUUUUUUUAGAGGGAAAUGAUAAAGGAGGAAGAAUAAAAUCACAAAGGGAAAAGAGGGAGAAAAGUAGAGAGAAAAGAGAGAAGAAUUCUUGAUUAAAUAGAGAGACAAAGUUAAGAAAUCGCAUAAAGAUUUGAAGGAAGAAAGGAGAAAAGAGUAGGUUCAUACAAGCUAAAGAUUAAAAGCUAAAAACAAGGGGAAAUACGCAAUAAAACCUAGAAAAGAAAAGUGCAUUAUUCAAUGGGCACACCUAAAACAUUAGUGAGAUAGUGUAUCCCAAUGGGCACACCUCUCCUUUAAUGUCUUCCAUAUCAAUGUUUCAUUUAUUUGUUAUUGAUUAUGUUGAUCUUAUUUUAUUUUAGAAGUUAUGUUUAACAUGUUUUUAUUUUUAGAUGUGAUAUGCAUUUGUUAAGAGAAGUAAGUUUAAGCUAGUUUCGAGUAUGUAAUUUAUUGUUAAAAAAACAUGUAAUUAGAAUGUUUGAACGUCAAUUAUAAUGUUUUGAAGUUUAGGUUAAUCAUUUUGAUUUGGAUUUGUUUUUUUAAUGUAUUAAUGUGAUUUACAAAGACCGUGCUUUUAAUUUGUGUUUUAUACAAUGCCGAGUUAGUUAAGCUGCUAUGCAUGUUUAAAAAUGAUGAAAAAAAAAGGUGUUAAAACUAAUGUAACAAUGUUUAAAGAUUUCAAAAAUAAAUUACUAGUUCUUAUCGAUUAUGUGGACAAAUUCUUAUUUUGUUUCUUUUACAUGUUUUCUUUUAGUUUUGGAAGUUCUAGUAGGUCAUCAUAAGCAUGCUUUAAAUAAGUUUGACAAGUUCAGACUUUUCUUUUGAGGUUUUAGUUAGUUUCUAUUUUUAUGGUUUUGCUGGGGCUUUUUAGGUUUUUUUUGAAUUUCUGGGUUCAUGUUCUUGAACCGAGAUUUAGGCUUUUUUAUGUUUUGGCAUUUUAGCCUCUCUAAUAAGCUUCACUCGAAGCUAUAACUCAUGCCUGAUCGUUAUAUACCAUAUAUAUAUAUAUAUAUAUAUAUAUAUAUAUAUAUAUAUAUAUUUUUAUAACUUGUUUUGGAUCAAUCGAUCCUUAGAACCCCGAACAUUUUUCACUACCAUGUCAUUUUGAUGAAGAUUAAAGCUUAUCGUUGAUUAUACAUGCUUUUUGUUUAACGAAAUCUAGUCUAUUAUUUCAUCCAUGUUUUCAGGUUCAUCGAAGGUGUUCUUCAUGUUCUUGGCUCUUUCAAACAAAAUUUCUCGCUUGAUCUUUGUUUUUGAGUUUUAUCUUUGAACCUUGUUCUUGGACCUAGGCCAGGCUAGAAAGCCUAACCCACAUGGUUAGGCUGAUCCCAUUUCAGGCUUAGAGCAAUGUUUGGCUUGACAUCUUUUUAUUAAGAGAAAAAUAUUUUUUUUUUAUUCUUAAGGUGUGUUUGCCAAACACGCCCUAACAAAGUUAUGAUAGUUUUCUUUACCAAAUAUUUCUUGUUUUGCCAAACAUAGCCCUUGUUUUUUUUUAAUUAAUUCACUUUUAUGCCUUUAAGGAAUGUAUUUGCAAUAAUUUUUAUGUUUGUCAUUGUUUUGCUCCUUUUUAUUUAAUAUUUGAGAUUAUAACCUACAUGUGAGCGCUUUUCUAGUAUUAAAUAAAUCAUUUUUUUUGGUAAAAAUAAAAUACAAAAACAACCAAAAUAUAUCUUUUAAAAACAUAUUUAAAUAUUUUAAAUUAUGUAUGGCCAAGUCUCACAAAUAAAAUCAAAUUUGCAUAAAAAUAAUAAAAAUACAUGGCAUAAGUUAGCAUUUUUUACUACCAAAAUUCAAGAUUUUUUUUUUGUUUUUACAUGUAUUUUUAGAUUUAAUAACAAUUUUAUUAAAUCUAUGAGAACUUUGCUAUAUAUCAUAACCCAAUCCCCCCCUCCCCCAAAUUUGUUUUAUAAAAAGUGUAUAGUUUUCUUUUUUAUUAAAAAAAUCCAAAAAACAUAAAAUCCAAAAAAAAUUUUGGGACACAAGGAGAUAAGUUUUUGAGCUGAAAAAGACCAAAAUACUUGAAGAAUAGUCAGAUUGAGAUGUUUUGAUAGAAUUUGAUGAAGAAAUGAAGAUAAUAAAGGUUGAAAUCCAACCUUGACAAAAACUGGAAGAAUUAAUUAAGUUUAAGGACUUAAUUAAAUUUUUAAAAGGUUUAAUUGACUUAUUUAAGGACUUAAUUGAAAAAAAAAUUAAGUUUGAAAGCCAAUUAGAAAAAAUAAAUCAGAAAAGUUAAUUGAGUUCAAUGACUUAAUUAAAUUUCUAAUGAGUAUUGUGGAUUCAAUAAAGGACUCAAUUGAAAAAAAAACAAUUUUAAAGAUCUAAUUCGGAUCAAUUCGCAAAGAUUAGAAGAUUAUGGACACAAUUCAAACUUUGAAAGUCUAAAUUAGAGGCUUAAUUGAAAUAAAUUUAAAGUAUGGAGUUUAAUUGAGGACCAUAAUAAAAAAAAUCUAAAACUAAGGAAUACUUUAUACAAAACUUUGAAAUUUAAUGGUCCAAUUAAAGAGGGAUAAUGGUGAAAUUGCAAGGAAUCCAAAAUAUUAGGGCUGAUUGAGGAUUCCAUUACAAGUGCCAAAAAUUCAAGGACCAGAUUGAGAAAAAUUAUAAUUUCACUAUUCAUUGAUUUUUUCCCCUAAAACAAAAGAAAAAAGAUGCUUAAAUACGCCAUCUUUUAGCCCUAACUAAUUACUCUCUAACCUCUUCAUCAUACCACACAAAUUUUAUGCUAAAUUAUACCCUGAUAUUUGUACUUAACUUAAAGCCAGCAUCACAACUUUUAUUGCAUUAAAACACUAACAUAAUCUCUCCCAAAUACAUUACCCAGCUCAGCUCUACCUGCAAAAACAGCCUUUUAUCCUCCCUUGUCAGUUUUCAGAGCAAAAACAAGCUUUUAUCCUUCGUUUUAAUAAAUGACUUGGAUGUAUUCCUCGACAUCAAAGAUUAAGAUAUUAUAUCCCAAACCCAUGAGCCCUGAAACCUCUUUAUUUUUCUCAUAAAAAUCCCACAAAAUCCUAACUCAACCAGCUUACAGAAAGGGGAACAAUACCAUCAAGACUGCCUCCCAAGGCUGCAACAACCUUUUUCCUUAUUUUUUCCAACCCGAAACCAACCACGAAACAGCCCUCAAAUCACCACCAAGACCUCCUCAGCCGCUCUGUAAGCUUCAAACGUGAGCAGAGUCUUCAUCUCCUCUGACUUUAAGCAACAAUGAGAGAUCUUCCUUAGCAGUAUCCAUCGUCAUCUUCUCCGCACCGUGGGAAAGCAGCAUCAGGAGCAGCAACUCUCUCCUAACUUUCAUUCCUCCAUUGAAGCAGCAACAGCAGAGGUGAUCCCUCUUGCACCAACAACUUCUCCUUCCCGGUCCAGCACUCAAGGCCAGCCACCCUUCCAGCAGCAGCACCGUAAUCUCCCUCCAGCUGGCCACCAUCAGCCUCACAACCACAAACAACCUCCCUUUUAUUCCUCAACCAUAGCAAUAGCAACCGGCGACAUCUUCUCUUCAAUCCUGAGCAACAGUGAAAGCCCCUCCUUCCAGCAGCAUCCAGCAACAGACAACAGCAACAACCUUGAGCGGUAGUUACUGCACUUCCACUCCUCUGUUUCAGCCAUGGACAACAGCAGCGCUGUUUCUCUCCUCUGCACUGUGAACAGUUCCUCAGCAACAAAAGUAGUGGUUGUCCUCCUAGUUGCAGCAGCACCAGAGUUUUCUCUUCCUCUCGGUCACGACAGCAACAAACUCCAGUAGCAAAAUUUUAACAAAAGUACAAACCCUUAAUUAGGUGCACAAAAAAAAGUAUAAAAAAAGUACAAACCCUCAGUUGUUUUAUUUAUUUAUUUAUUUUGUUUUAUAUUUAUAUUUAAAAGUAUAAAAAAAGUUUAAAAUAUUUAACAAAUAAUAUUCCAUUUACCUCUUUAUUGAUCUCUUUAUUGAUGUGAUUUUAUUUAAAUAAGUUAUUUUGAAGUAUCUUUUUUUAUAUUCUUGGUAUAUUAAAGUUGUUAUUUAAGUUUGUUUUUCAUAUACAUUGUUUUUUCAGUUUUAGUUUUUGUUUAACUUAAGCUAUAGUGUUAAAACAAUGAUGUUUAUUCUAGGUUUGUUAGGUCUGUUCAUGCACCAAAUGAAUUCAGAAAAUUAAUUUUGAAUCCAUCUUGUAUGAAUAUAUAGAUUGUUUUAAGUUGAUAAUUUUUAUUAUUUGGUACCUUAUGCUUGAUUUUGAUGUUUUUUUUUGUUAGUUUUUUGGUUCAAACAUGUUUGUGUAUGAUAUUGUGACUUCUUGAGAUAUAUAUAUAUAUAAAGCAUGUUAUAGAAACAAAAAAAUGCCCAUUUCUAGGUUUGGUAGAGGUUGUCUUGGCUAGGAACUUUCUAGGUUUUUUAAGCAAUGUUCUUCGUGUUCUUGGAAAGAAUGUUGCCUUAGCCUAUAGGUUUGGACUGAUUUCGGUCCAUUUCUUUGUAUAUAACCCUUUUUUUUAUGUAUGAUUAAAUAAUAAUCCAGUGUUUAUUUGCAUCAAUAACAUGAUUUUAACGAUUUUCAAUCCUAAAGUUUUGGUUUAGAACUGAAACUUAUUUUGACACAAUUGUGAUGUUUAAGUGAUAAUCAAAGUAAAUGGAUGCAAGAUUACCGAUCCUUAUAUGAUUUCCAACAUAUAUGUGCCUUUGUUUUGAUCAAAUUUGUUUGUUUUGGAUUUUAUGUUGCUGGGUUUGUUCGGUGUUCUUGAUGUUAUUUUUUUUGGUGUUUGAUCCAUUUUGCUCAGUUCUUUUGAGUUUUGGUUUUUGGUGUUUUUUUUUUUUUUGGCUUUGGUCUUGUUUUUGGGUCAAACCAGGAUUUCUAGCUUGAUUUAUGGUCGAACCAAAAAUCUCGGGUCCACCUAAUCGAGUCAACAAUUGAUUGCGUCAAGUAAAAAAAAUUUGGUUAAAGGUUUUAAUACCUUGUUUGGUUUGCCAUAAUUUUUGUUAAAGGGUUUUUGGGUUUAAAGGUGUGUUUGACAAACACCCAUUAAGCUAUAUUUGGUAGUUUUAUUAAAAACAAAAUUGAGUUUUUGUCAAAUAAAGCCUAUGAAAAUAAUAAAAAAAAUAUUUUAUAUUCUUGCACAUGGCUAAAAAUCCUAAAGUUAUUUAAGCUUUUUUUUUUUUUUAAAAAUCUAAAAUACUUUGACAUGCUUUUUUUUUAAAAAAAUAUUGUAUGAAUUUUAUAACAAGUUUGUAAAAUUCCAAAAGAUUUUGGUCUAUAUUUUAAAAAUACUAAAAAAGUUUUAUUUUGUUUAUUUUAACACGUGAGAUUAUAAACUUAUACGAAAGAUAUAUUUAUGAUAUUAAAAAAAAAAAAGAUUUUUUUGUUUCUUUUAAUAUACAAGAUUAUGAACUCAUAAAUAAAAGAUAUUUCUGAUAUUAAAUAAAAAGAUAGUUUAUAUUUUUAUGUUGACAUUAGAACGAUUUUGUUUUUAAUCUGAUAAUAUAAGGACCUUUUUAUUAAGGAGAAUAUUUCUUAUAUCUUAGACACACCAACGAUUAAAAAACAUAAUAUUUCUUUAUUUUAUAUCAGACAAAUAAACAAUGUAGCUAAGCUAAGGUAAGACAUACUAAGGAUGCUAAUACCUUCUCUUUAUGCAAUCGGUCUCUUUAUACAGACUCCGAAACCAGUUAUGGUUCUCAGUGAUCAAAAUAACAGAAUAAACAAUGUAGCUAAGCUAAGGUAAGACAUAUUAGGGAUGCAAUACCUUUUUUUAUGCAAUCGGUCUCUUUAUACAGACUCCGAAACCAGUUAUGGUUCUCAGUGAUCAAAAUAACAGAAUAAACAAUGUAGUUAAGCUAAGGUAAGACAUACUAGGGAUGCUAAUACCUUCUUUUUAUGCAAUCGGUCUCUUUAUACAGACUCCGAAACCAGUUAUGGUUCUCAGUGAUCAAAAUAACAGAAUAAACAAUGUAGCUAAGCUAAGAUAAAACAUACUAGGGAUGCUAAUACCUUCUCUUUAUGCAAUCGGUCUCUUUAUACAGACUCCGAAAUCAGUUAUGGUUCUCAGUGAUCAAAAUAACAGAUGACGACUCCUAUUUUGUUCUUUUACUGAUAAAUAACAUGAAUUCAUUGUCAUUUCCACCCAUAUCAUUCUUGACAAUCCAAAUCCAAGAAAUUAAAUGAUCGCUGCGACACUGUACACGUGCGAUAACUCUCAUCAAAUUAAUUAGGUCACAUCAAAUCAAUUUCCAUAUAAUUAUUUAUUUUUAAAAAAUUAUACUAGAAUAAGUAUUGUAGCACCUAGAUAUUUUCGGUGGUGGUGGCUAUAAAUAAGAGUGCAGAGAAGAGGCAAUAGCCAUUUUAAACACAAAGUAAUAUUUCCAAGAUGAAGGCCUUUCUUAUCAUAUGCAUUCUCUUGGCUACCGUUGCCUUCUCUCCCUUUUCCACGAGCACUGCCCUAGAAUUAUCCCAUAAAGGUGAAGAACCCACCUUCUCUAUCUGCUUUCGUUUCCAUUGAUCUCAUGAUUUAAGAUAAGCAUGCCUCUGUGAGUGUAUGUUCAUGUUCAACGCUGCAUCUAUGCCUGCUUUGAUUUCUGAGCUGGUCCUCCAUGUUUUGCUUUCUCCUCUGUUAACAGUAUUUUCAUCACGGCACCGUAUAUUUACUGAGUUAAUUUGUGAUAAUUUUCAUAGCACGUUAACACGUGUGAGUAAAUCUUGCAGGUCCAUACAGGACACUUGACGCUUCCACGCAACAAGGUGGCCCGAGGAAGCCACCACGUGGCCCGGUGUAUCCACCGGCGCCACCGGUGUAUCCACCACGUGGCCCGAGGAAUCCACCACGUGGCCCGGUCAAGCCACCACCUGCAAAGAAGCCACCUCCCGGGUCCCAGUAAUGCGCACAAGUGGGAUUGUGAAAUCCCUUGAGAAUGGAACACUACGGAUUAGAAGCCAGUAAAGUGUCGACCGACAGCUAGUAGUAUCUUUAUUAACAUGGUAAUCUGAUAUGAGAAUAUUUUAUGUAAGAAAAAUAAAAUAUGAAGUUCUCAUAACAUGUCAACAACCAUAUAUUGGUAUGAUCAUGAGGUUUUAAUUUCUGUCGGGUUUUAUAUUGUAUUAUCGUAAUGAAGUGGAUGCAAAAUAAAUAAAGUGUUUAAUUAGCUAGACUAUAGUCUGGCUAGCUAUCUUCUCUGUUGUUCAUAUGAGUGUUAUACAUGCCCAUUAUUAUCUUUUUUAUUUUUUUUUAGUUUUAAGGGAUUGUAAUUAAGUGGGUGCUUGAGAAUAUAAAAAUUGUUGUUUUUUAAAGUGUUUUUCACUUGAAAAUAUAUUAAAAUAAUAUUUUUAAAAUUAUUUUUAAUAUUAUCAUAUUAAAAUAAUCUGAAAAAUAAUAAGAAAUUUUAAUUUAAAUAAAAAAAAUCAAAGUUUUUAAAUGUAAUUUUUAAAACAUGGGCUUUCCAUCCUAAUAUGUCACCGACGCAAAUCUGAGCUGUUUGUGGGUGUUCCUCUAAGACUAUAGGAAAAUAAUGAAACAAAAAAUAGCCUAUAUCGAACAUUCUUGUUAAUCCAAGCAGGAAACUUCAGUACGGUUUUGUGUCAUCCUCCUCCAUGAUUAUGCUUUUACAAUUAUGAUUAUUUUGUUUCCAAUUUCCAUGAAUUGAUGCAAUCCAAGAUUUUGAAGAUAAUAGUAGGUAAAUACCUUUUUGAAGAUAAAAUCCAUAGAACUCGUAUUAAUAAAAUUAUAUGUAAUCAUUUGAUUAAUAAAUUUUUUAUAUAAUAUAUCCUUUAAAAUUUGUGAGCUUCAACUCUAAAAUAAGCUCAACUAACCUUUCUGAGUCUUGAAUUGAUGAAAACAAAAGGCAACCAUCCGGCUGCCAUCCUCCUCAAGCAACUUUUCUUAAUAGAAAAGGCCCAAACAUCCUUAAUUUGAGAAAGGAAAUAAUAAUAAAAAAACAAAUGAUUUAUAUCUUCGCACUCCAUUACCACAAUGAAUACAAAUUGUAUUCAGUUUGCGUACUUUGCAUAACAUAUAUGUCAUCUCAGAAACUCUAGCCUGUGAAGGCAAUCUUGUGUUCCAAAUUCCAUCAGUAAAUAUAAGAAUUCUGAUGAUCGAGAUAUCUUACCAUUUUCAACGGUCUGAUGAAAUUGCUUCCAUUACAAAAUAAUGUUAUAAGCUUGAGUAAUUUUCACCAGUUUCUAAGAACAACUAUUGGGUGCUUUAGGCUCCAAAACUUCUGUCGAAAUGGUGAUUAAUCAUCUUUCAGCAGUUCUUGGAUUAGCAGUGUUAGGGCUGUCCUCACGAAACGUUGAAGUUUAAAAAUAAUAUUUUCACUGUGUCUUAUGUCUAAUUGAGAAUGGAAAGUAUAAUUUUAGGUUUUUCCAUUCUAUUUUUAUGAUUCAUCCGGGAGAUAUAACUGGACAUUAAAAAUCUUUACCUUAUACACAUAGAAUAUAUAUUUUUAUUAAUUAAAAACCUCAAGAGUUUGUUAUUAUUUUCAUCUAGUGUCAUAUCAAAAAAUCAUCUUAACUCAAUAGCUUAAUUUGUUAUGUGAGGUCUUAUAAUAUAAUUUAUAUUAUUCUUUAAUAUACUCCCUUAAAUGAAAGUUUUUUUGGACUUCAAACUAACACAAGUCUACGUUAUAUUGUGCUUAAUUAUUAUUAAAUAAAUGAGGAUUAUAAGAUUUGAACUCGUGAUCGUUUGUCAUCAAAACUUUGAUAUCAUAUUAAAAAAUCAUUUCAAACUAAUAGUUUAAACGGUUAGAUAAAAUUUUAGAAUAUAAUUUAUAUUAUUUUAGAUAAAUAGAAUUGCAACCAUACUUUUCAAAGGUGGCUUAUAGAAUAAGGCAAAGAAAUGAGAAGGAACACUUUGCUUAAAAAGGUUUAUUAUUGAAUCAAAGUAUACAUUUUUCUACAAUAAUGCUAAAGUAAUUUAGUCAAAAUAAAUCUUUACAGAUCUUCUUUACAGCUAAUAGGAGGCCUUGCAUCAGUUGCAUGUAUAUCCGUAACCAUUAUCAUCGACUUUUGUGGCAUGUUUUUCUGGAUUAAACUUUUGUGGCAUGUUUUUCUGACAAUCUUCAUCACAAAUUAGGUGGCAUGAUAUUGUUGACUUUCUUUCGCCACCACUUUGUAUGUAAAAUAGUUUUUUAAUUAGGCUAUCUUCGGAACUUUUUCAUGUUUAUUUAGUAAUUCAAAAGGUGAUUCCUAAAAAAUAUUUUCGAGUAAAAAUAAAAUGAUUUGGUUUAAUUUUAAAAAAAUUUGAAUAGAAUAGGAUGCUUUUCAGAAGUGGUAUAAAAUUUAAAAAUAUAAUAUUAUUUAUUAAUUAUAUAAAAUUUGAUUUUCAAUAUUUUUAUUAUAUAUUUUAUUUUAAAUCUUUUUUGUUCAAUUUCAUUUUUUAAAAUUUGAUUUAAUUUGAUUUUUAUAUCAAUUUUGAUCCUUAUUUUUUUAUUGUUAUUUUUUUCUCUUACUCUUUUUUUAAUUAAAUUUUUUAAUAUAUCAGAUUUAGUUUUUAUUCUUUAAUUGCUAUUUAUUUUUAUUGAAAUAAUUAUGAAAUAAAAGUUUUUUUUUCAAUUUAAACUAUUAAAUUGAGAUAAUUCUUUGACAUGCUAAAUAAGUUCUUUCAUACUUCCACCAUACGUGGAUAGAAUCCACUCCUACUUUUCAAAGUUGGCUUGUUCAAUAAUGCGAAGUAUUUGAUACGUUCGUUAAUUAUCUUGGGCACGGGAGGAAUAUAUAGUUCCCUUCAAGAAUGGUUCCCUUCGAGUGCUGCUAAAAAUCAUGGUGGCUAUAAGUAAGAGCUUCUGCUGUCUUUAUCAAUAUGUAAAAUCAUGAGAACUAUUUAUGUUAGUAUUUAAUAAUUUUCUAAGAGUUACUAAAGUUUUAAAAGAUACCAAUUGUCCCAUCAUAGACGAGUGGUCUUCCCAUUUCAAACGGUUCAAUGAAUUUAUUUUUAUAAUAUUAGAGAAUAAUAUAAAUUAUAUCUUGAGAUUUUAUCUAAUAGCUUAGAUUUUUUGGUUGAAUUGGUUCUUUGACAUGGUAUCAAAACCUUGAUGACCAAGUAAUCACGAGUUCAAAUCUCGCCACCCUUAUUUAUUUGAUAAAAAUUAAAGAUGAUGUAAUAUGAGCUGAUGCCCAAAAAACUUUCUCUUGAGGGGGUGUGUUUUAAAGAAUAAUAUAAACUAUAUCUUGGAACCUCGCAUGACAGCUUAAACUCUUGGAUUGAAUUAAUUUUUUGACACGUACAAAUGUUAUAAGCUAGAGUAAUUAUCAUCUGUGUCAAGAAUUGUAAUUGGGUGCUUUAUGGCUCCAAAAACUACUGCAGAAACGUAACUACAUCAUCUUUAAGUAUAUUGGCUCCUGCUCUACAACUGAUUAAUAUUUUUUUUAAUGUAAAAAAAUAUUAAGAAUGUAAUAAAUGUUUUAUAACCUGAUAGGAUAUUUUUUUUUCAUUCUUAUCUUAAAACUAUUUCCUUGAUUUCAUCUUGCUUAUUAUUGUGUAGGAUUUAUCUAAUGGGACAAUCCGCUGGUGCACAUAUUUCUGCUUGUACCUGUUGGAGCAAGCAAUAAGAGAAGCUAAGGGAGAGGAGGGGAUCUCCUGGAGUGUCUCGCAGAUAAAGGCAUAUUUUGGUUUAUCUGGAGGGUAAGCUUUCAUCUGUUACUAUUUCAUGAAUCUUGUGGAAGUUCACUAAAAUCAAGGAAUGCAUUAUUUACCAUUUACAAGUGGAAUGAGUUAUUGAGAGUAAGAGUCACCAAUGUGAUUUCUGUUUCUUUCAGAAGAUCCCUACUAUUUACUGGUUCGUUUUGCUUAUAAUGAGUGGUUUCGUUAAAAAGAGAGAAAUAUGUGCUUAUGAUAUUACCAAAUUGUGGGAUCAAUGGUUAUGUUUAAACACCUUAGCACUAUAAACUGUUUUCCUAACUACUUUAGCUGCGUAUAUAUUUCAACAAUCUCAUGAUAAUGAGUAGAGUCAUUACCUCUGCCAGUUCCACUAGUUAUAAGCAUCUGUGUGUGCUCUGUUCAUAAAUGGCACUCAAUCCAGCAUAAGGACAUCAAUCAACGGAAUUUCCUUUGCAGUACUUUGUUCUCUGCUAUGUUAUCAUUUUCUUUUCGAAUUUUGGUCAUCUUGUUUUAUAAACUAUUGAUCAAAAUAACUUGGAAAAUAAAGAGCGAUGUCUAAGAGAAAACAGUCUGGUUCAGUACACUACAAAUUACUCAUGAGUCAUUGGUAUAUUCGAUGAUAUAUAGAGGAUUUUGGGUUUCGACAUCUGUAAUUUGUUUGUUUCAGCAUCUCUUUCUUAUCUGCUUGUUUAUGGCAUUAUGGUCUAUAAUUCAUACAUGGAUUACCUGGAAACACUGAACAGGUACAAUUUAUGCAAAUUAGUCGAUCAUUUCAACAACCGUGGCCUGUACCGUGCUCUUUUUCUAAGGUACCGUUUGUUUAUAAGCUCACUGGAUGCUGAUCAAUAUUUACUGAUGAAUUAUGCUAGUAUGUAAUUAUUGCCUAAGGUUAUUUUUCCUGAAUAAGGUUUUUUUCUGACUUGUGGUUACAGCAUGAUGGAAGGUGAAGAAUCCUUGCAAUCAUUUUCUCCUGAACUUAGAAUAGAAGACCCAAGCAUUGGAAAUGCUGUUUCUCUUCUGCCUCCUAUUAUUCUCUUUCAUGGAACAGCAGAUUAUUCAAUACCAUCUUCUUCCAGGUUAGAAUUUCUUGUUUUGGGCAUCAAUGAUGUGCUUCAUAUUACAAAGAUAUAUAAGUGGAUUAUAGUUCAAUAGACAUCGAGUUUGAUAUCAUUAUUCCAUUCAAUGCCUUACUUGUAUGAGAAAAAAAAGGGUUAUUUAAUUUAGAAAUAAUCAGCCUCCUUAAUGUCUCAGAUAUCCAUACAAUUUCAAUCUGAAAAUUAUGAGGACAAUGAAAUUAGAGAUGAAGUUGCCUCAUAAUCCAUUUGGAUUUAGAUAUUCUAGUGAGAAAUUUUACAUUAAUUUCAAUUUCCUGGACAAUUCACUACGUUAUAUUCACAUAUCUUUUUUUUUAUUCUGUUUGCAGUAUAGAUUUUGCAGCUGCUCUUCAAAGGUUAGGAGCACAAGCUGAGCUCAUUUUAUUUGAUGGAAAAACCCAUACAGACUUGUUUCUUCAAGUAAGUGCUGACAAUGUAUUGUUUUAUUGUUGUUAUGAUUGGUUUAAUGCUCUCAGCUAAAUUGUUUUUUUAAUCAAUCAAAUCCUGCUACCACUUCAUUAGAUGCACUAAUAUUCUGUUUCUAAUCACCUAGAUUAACCUGAAUCUCAUUUAAAUUGGCUUAGCAUCAUGAUGUUUAGGCAUAUUGACAACUAAUAAUCUCAUGUACUUGGCUGUCGAAACUCGUUUAUGACACUGAGAAUCCAACUCAUCCUAAUGAUUGGGUCACAUCAUUCAGGAUCCUCUAAGAGGUGGUAAGGAUGAAAUGUUCAGCCAUCUGGUCGCUGUGAUACAUGCUGGUGAUGAGGAAGCUCUAGCCAAGGAUGCCACGGCACCUCCGAGAAGGCGACUAGUUCCUGAGGUUCUGCUAAGAAUGGCCAGCCAUAUCAGCCCUUUCUAAGGUUUGUACACCAAUCAUUUACAUUUACAUCCUAUUUUAUUUAAUGAUGUUGACAAUAUCUUGUUCCUAGUCAACCUCCCCUGCGUUGACAACUGCAAGCUAAUUAAGGACCGAUCUUCCAACAAUUGAAUGAGGAGUUCUAGACCUCCAAACAAGAUGAAGUUGUUUCUAAAGGUAGAUAGUUAUCUCUAUCUACACGAUUCAUGUUUGCCUAUGACAUGUUUAUAUCCUAUUUUUCACGAUGAUCUCAUCAAAGUAGCCCACUCAAUCAACCAUGACUAAAUAAGAAAAACCCCAUGUUUGAGUAGACUUCAUGGCUGCCUUAUCCUGAUAGGUUCGAGCUCAUAAAAGAAAAAAUGAAUUAGAAUGCACAUUUCUAGGGAGGUUAGAUGAUAGAAUGAGUAACAACUUCUAUAAACCACGCAUCUUGUGCAAACCAUCAUGAUUUUGCAACUUCUAGUUUUGGUUUGUUUAUAAAAAGGGCAAGUGCUAUUAAACCAAAAUGGAGGUCUUUUUUAGAGGGAAAUGAUAAAGGAGGAAGAAUAAAAUCACAAAGGGAAAAGAGGGAGAAAGUAGAGAGAAAAGAGAGAAGAAUUCUUGAUUAAAUAGAGAGACAAAGUUAAGAAAUCGCAUAAAGAUUUGAAGGAAGAAAGGAGAAAAGAGUAGGUCAUACAAGCUAAAGAUUAAAAGCUAAAAACAAGGGGAAAUACGCAAUAAAACCUAGAAAAGAAAAGUGCAUUAUUCAAUGGGCACACCUAAAACAUUAGUGAGAUAGUGUAUCCCAAUGGGCACACCUCUCCUUUAAUGUCUUCCAUAUCAAUGUUUCAUUUAUUUGUUAUUGAUUAUGUUGAUCUUAUUUUUUUUAGAAGUUAUGUUUAACAUGUUUUUAUUUUUAGAUGUGAUAUGCAUUUGUUAAGAGAAGUAAGUUUAAGCUAGUUUCGAGUAUGUAAUUUAUUGUUAAAAAAACAUGUAAUUAGAAUGUUGAACGUCAAUUAUAAUGUUUUGAAGUUUAGGUUAAUCAUUUGAUUUGGAUUUGUUUUUUUUUAAUGUAAUUAAUGUGAUUUACAAAGACCGUGCUUUUAAUUUGUGUUUUAUACAAUGCCGAGUUAGUUAAGCUGCUAUGCAUGUUUAAAAAUGAUGAAAAAAAAGGUGUUAAAACUAAUGUAACAAUGUUUAAAGAUUUCAAAAAUAAAUUACUAGUUUCUUAUCGAUUAUGUGGACAAAUUCUUAUUUUGUUUCUUUUACAUGUUUUCUUUUAGUUUUGGAAGUUCUAGUAGGUCAUCAUAAGCAUGCUUUAAAUAAGUUUGACAAGUUCAGACUUUUCUUUUGAGGUUUUAGUUAGUUUCUAUUUUAUGGUUUUGCUGGGGCUUUUUAGGUUUUUUUUGAAUUUCUGGGUUCAUGUUCUUGAACCGAGAUUUAGGCUUUUUUAUGUUUUGGCAUUUUAGCCUCUCUAAUAAGCUUCACUCGAAGCUAUAACUCAUGCCUGAUCGUUAUAUACCAUAUAUAUAUUUUUUUUAUAACUUGUUUUGGAUCAAUCGAUCCUUAGAACCCCGAACAUUUUUCACUACCAUGUCAUUUUGAUGAAGAUUAAAGCUUAUCGUUGAUUAUACAUGCUUUUUGUUUAACGAAAUCUAGUCUAUUAUUUCAUCCAUGUUUUCAGGUUCAUCGAAGGUGUUCUUCAUGUUCUUGGCUCUUUCAAACAAAAUUUCUCGCUUGAUCUUUGUUUUUGAGUUUCUAUCUUUGAACCUUGUUCUUGGACCUAGGCCAGGCUAGAAAGCCUAACCCACAUGGUUAGGCUGAUCCCAUUUCAGGCUUAGAGCAAUGUUUGGCUUGACAUCUUUUUAUUAAGAGAAAAAUAUUUUUUUUUAUUCUUAAGGUGUGUUUGCCAAACACGCCCUAACAAAGUUAUGAUAGUUUUCUUUACCAAAUAUUUCUUGUUUUGCCAAACAUAGCCCUUGUUUUUUUUUAAUUAAUUCACUUUUAUGCCUUUAAGGAAUGUAUUUGCAAUAAUUUUUAUGUUUGUCAUUGUUUUGCUCCUUUUUAUUUAAUAUUUGAGAUUAUAACCUACAUGUGAGCGCUUUUCUAGUAUUAAAUAAAUCAUUUUUUUUGGUAAAAAUAAAAUACAAAAACAACCAAAAUAUAUCUUUAAAAACAUAUUUAAAUAUUUUAAAUUAUGUAUGGCCAAGUCUCAAAUAAAAUCAAAUUUGCAUAAAAAUAAUAAAAAUACAUGGCAUAAGUUAGCAUUUUUUACUACCAAAAUUCAAGAUUUUUUUUUGUUUUUACAUGUAUUUUUAGAUUUAAUAACAAUUUAUUAAAUCUAUGAGAACUUUGCUAUAUAUCAUAACCCAAUCCCCCCUCCCCCAAAUUUGUUUUAUAAAAAGUGUAUAUUUUCUUUUUUAUUAAAAAAAUCCAAAAAACAUAAAAUCCAAAAAAAUUUUGGGACACAAGAGAUAAGUUUUUGAGCUGAAAAAGACCAAAAUACUUGAAGAAUAGUCAGAUUGAGAUGUUUUGAUAGAAUUUGAUGAAGAAAUGAAGAUAAUAAAGGUUGAAAUCCAACCUUGACAAAAACUGGAAGAAUUAAUUAAGUUUAAGGACUUAAUUAAAUUUUAAAAGGUUUAAUUGACUUAUUUAAGGACUUAUUGAAAAAAAAUUAAGUUUGAAAGCCAAUUAGAAAAAAAUAAAUCAGAAAAGUUAAUUGAGUUCAAUGACUUAAUUAAAUUCUAAUGAGUAUUGUGGAUUCAAAUAAAGGACUCAAUUGAAAAAAAAACAAUUUUAAAGAUCUAAUUCGGAUCAAUUCGCAAAGAUUAGAAGAUUAUGGACACAAUUCAAACUUUGAAAGUCUAAAUUAGAGGCUUAAUUGAAAUAAAUUUAAAGUAUGGAGUUUAAUUGAGGACCAUAAUAAAGAAAUCUAAAACUAAGGAAUACUUUAUACAAAACUUUGAAAUUUAAUGGUCCAAUUAAAGAGGGAUAAUGGUGAAAUUGCAAGGAAUCCAAAAUAUUAGGGCUGAUUGAGGAUUCCAUUACAAGUGCCAAAAAUUCAAGGACCAAAUUGAGAAAAAUUAUAAUUUCACUAUUCAUUGAUUUUUUCCCCUAAAACAAAAGAAAAAAGAUGCUUAAAUACGCCAUCUUUUAGCCCUAACUAAUUAUUCUCUAACCUCUUCAUCAUACCACACAAAUUUUAUGCUAAAUUAUACCCUGAUAUUUGUACUUAACUUAAAGCCAGCAUCACAACUUUUAUUGCAUUAAAAACACAUACAUAAUCUCUCCCAAAUACAUUACCCAGCUCAGCUCUACCUGCAAAAACAGCCUUUUAUCCUCCCUUGUUAGUUUUCAGAGCAAAAACAAGCUUUUAUCCUUAGUUUUAAUAAAUGACUUGGAUGUAUUCCUCGACAUCAAAGAUUAAGAUAUUAUAUCCCAAACCCAUGAGCCCUGAAACCUCUUUAUUUUUCUCAUAAAAAUCCCACAAAAUCCUAACUCAACCAGCUUACAGAAAGGGGAACAAUACCAUCAAGACUGCCUCCCAAGGCUGCAACAACCUUUUUCCUUAUUUUUUCCAACCCGAAACCAACCACGAAACAGCCCUCAAAUCAUCACAACCCCCCUACAUCACCACCAUGACCUCCUCAGCCGCUCUGUAACCUUCAAACGUGAGCAGAGUCUUCAUCUCCUCUGACUUUAAGCAACAAUGAGAGAUCUUCCUUAGCAGUAUCCAUCGUCAUCUUCUCCGCACCGUGGGAAAGCAGCAUCAGGAGCAGCAACUCUCUCCUAACUUUCAUUCCUCCAUUGAAGUAGCAACAGCAGAGGUGAUCCCUCUUGCACCAACAACUUCUCCUUCCCGGUCCAGCACUCAAGGCCAGCCACCCUUCCAGCAGCAGCACCGUAAUCUCCCUCCAGCUGGCCACCAUCAGCCUCACAACCACAAACAACCUCCCUUUUAUUCCUCAACCAUAGCAAUAGCAACCGGCGACAUCUUCUCUUCAAUCCUGAGCAACAGUGAAAGCCCCUCCUUCCAGCAGCAUCCAGCAACAGACAACAGCAACAACCUUGAGCGGUAGUUACUGCACUUCCACUCCUCUGUUUCAGCCAUGGACAACAGCAGCGCUGUUUCUCUCCUCUGCACUGUGAACAGUUCCUCAGCAACAAAAGUAGUGGUUGUCCUCCUAGUUGCAGCAGCACCAGAGUUUUCUCUUCCUCUCGGUCACGACAGCAACAAACUCCAGUAGCAAAAUUUUAACAAAAGUACAAACCCUUAAUUAGGUGCACAAAAAAAAGUAUAAAAAAAGUACAAACCCUCAGUUGUUUUAUUUAUUUAUUUAUUUUGUUUUAUAUUUAUAUUUAAAAGUAUAAAAAAAGUUUAAAAUAUUUAACAAAUAAUAUUCCAUUUACCUCUUUAUUGAUCUCUUUAUUGAUGUGAUUUUAUUUAAAUAAGUUAUUUUGAAGUAUCUUUUUUUAUAUUCUUGGUAUAUUAAAGUUGUUAUUUAAGUUUGUUUUUCAUAUACAUUGUUUUUUCAGUUUUAGUUUUUGUUUAACUUAAGCUAUAGUGUUAAAACAAUGAUGUUUAUUCUAGGUUUGUUAGGUCUGUUCAUGCACCAAAUGAAUUCAGAAAAUUAAUUUUGAAUCCAUCUUGUAUGAAUAUAUAGAUUGUUUUAAGUUGAUAAUUUUUAUUAUUUGGUACCUUAUGCUUGAUUUUGAUGUUUUUUUUGUUAGUUUUUUGAUUCAAACAUGUUUGUGUAUGAUAUUGUGACUUCUUGAGAUAUAUAUAUAUAUAUAUAUAUAUAUAAAGCAUGUUAUAGAAACAAAAAAAUGCCCAUUUCUAGGUUUGGUAGAGGUUGUCUUGGCUAGGAACUUUUCUAGGUUUUUUAAGCAAUGUUCUUCGUGUUCUUGGAAAGAAUGUUGCCUUAGCCUAUAGGUUUGGACUGAUUUCGGUCCAUUUCUUUGUAUAUAACCCUUUUUUUUAUGUAUGAUUAAAUAAUAAUCCAGUGUUUAUUUGCAUCAAUAACAUGAUUUUAACGAUUUUCAAUCCUAAAGUUUUGGUUUAGAACUGAAACUUAUUUUGACACAAUUGUGAUGUUUAAGUGAUAAUCAAAGUAAAUGGAUGCAAGAUUACCGAUCCUUAUAUGAUUUCCAACAUAUAUGUGCCUUUGUUUUGAUCAAAUUUUGUUUGUUUUGGAUUUUAUGUUGCUGGGUUUGUUCGGUGUUCUUGAUGUUAUUUUUUUUGGUGUUUGAUCCAUUUUGCUCAAGUUCUUUUGAGUUUUGGUUUUUGGUGUUUUUUUUUUUUUUGGCUUUGGUCUUGUUUUUGGGUCAAACCAGGAUUUCUAGCUUGAUUUAUGGUCGAACCAAAAAUCUCGGGUCCACCUAAUCGAGUCAACAAUUGAUUGCGUCAAGUAAAAAAAAUUUGGUUAAAGGUUUUAAUACCUUGUUUGGUUUGCCAUAAUUUUUGUUAAAGGGUUUUUGGGUUUAAAGGUGUGUUUGACAAACACCCAUUAAGCUAUAUUUGGUAGUUUUAUUAAAAACAAAAUUGAGUUUUUGUCAAAUAAAGCCUAUGAAAAUAAUAAAAAAAUAUUUUAUAUUCUUGCACAUGGCUAAAAAUCCUAAAGUUAUUUAAGCUUUUUUUUUUUUUUAAAAAUCUAAAAUACUUUGACAUGCUUUUUUUUUAAAAAAAUAUUGUAUGAAUUUUAUAACAAGUUUGUAAAAUUCCAAAAGAUUUUGGUCUAUAUUUUAAAAAUACUAAAAAAGUUUUAUUUUGUUUAUUUUAACACGUGAGAUUAUAAACUUAUACGAAAGAUAUAUUUAUGAUAUUAAAAUAAAAAAAAAGAUUUUUUUGUUUCUUUUAAUAUACAAGAUUAUGAACUCAUAAAUAAAAGAUAUUUCUGAUAUUAAAUAAAAAGAUAGUUUAUAUUUUUAUGUUGACAUUAGAACGAUUUUGUUUUUAAUCUGAUAAUAUAAGGACCUUUUUAUUAAGGAGAAUAUUUCUUAUAUCUUAGACACACCAACGAUUAAAAAACAUAAUAUUUCUUUAUUUUAUAUCAGACAAAUAAACAAUGUAGCUAAGCUAAGGUAAGACAUACUAGGGAUGCUAAUACCUUUUCUUUAUGCAAUCGGUCUCUUUAUACAGACUCCGAAACCAGUUAUGGUUCUCAGUGAUCAAAAUAACAUAAUAAACAAUGUAGCUAAGCUAAGGUAAGACAUAUUAGGGAUGCUAAUACCUUUUCUUUAUGCAAUCGGUCUCUUUAUACAGACUCCGAAACCAGUUAUGGUUCUCAGUGAUUAAAAUAACAGAAUAAACAAUGUAGUUAAGCUAAGGUAAGACAUACUAGGGAUGCUAAUACCUUUUUUUUAUGCAAUCGGUCUCUUUAUACAGACUCCGAAACUAGUUAUGGUUCUCAGUGAUCAAAAUAACAGAAUAAACAAUGUAGCUAAGCUAAGAUAAAACAUACUAGGGAUGCUAAUACCUUCUCUUUAUGCAAUCGGUCUCUUUAUACAGACUUCGAAAUCAGUUAUGAUUCUCAAUGAUCAAAAUAACAGAUGACGACUCCUAUUUUGUUUUUUUGCUGAUAAAUGACAUGAAUUCAUUGUCAUUUCCACCCAUAUCAUUCUUGACAAUCCAAAUUCAAGAAAUUAAAUGAUCGCUGCGACACUGUACACGUGCGAUAACUCUCAUCAAAUUAAUUAGGUCACAUCAAAUCAAUUUCCAUAUAAUUAUUUAUUUUUAAAAAAUUAUACUAGAAUAAGUAUUGUAGCACCUAGAUAUUUUCGGUGGUGGUGGCUAUAAAUAAGAGUGCAGAGAAGAGGCAAUAGCCAUUUUAAACACAAAGUAAUAUUUCCAAGAUGAAGGCCUUUCUUAUCAUAUGCAUUCUCUUGGCUACCGUUGCCUUCUCUCCCUUUUCCACGAGCACUGCCCUAGAAUUAUCCCAUAAAGGUGAAGAACCCACCUUCUCUAUCUGCUUUCGUUUCCAUUGAUCUUAUGAUUUAAGAUAAUCAUGUACCUAGCUAGUUCAUAUUUAUUUGAAUAUAUGUUCAGAUAACAGUUCAUAUGUAAGUGUAUGUUCAUGUAUAACGCUGCAUCUAUGCCUGCUUUGAUUUCUGAGCUGGUCCUCCAUCUUUUGCUUUCUCCUCUGUUAACAGUAUUUUCAUCACCGCACCGUAUAUUUACUGAGUUUGUGAUAAUUUUCAUAGCACGUUAACACGUGUGAGUAAAUCUUGCAGGUCCAUACAGGACACAUGACGCUUCCAUGCAACAAGGUGGCCCGGUGAAGCCACCACGUGGCCCACGUCCCCCGGGGAAGCCACCACGUGGCCCGGGGAAGCCACCACGUGGCCCGGGGAAUCCACCACGUGGCCUGGACAAUCGACCAUUGAGAUGCCACCUCCCGGGUCACAGUAAUGCGCACACUUGGAAUUGUGAAAUGCCUUGAGAAUGGAACACUACGGAUUAGAAGGCAGUAAAGUGUCGACCGACAGCUAGUAGUAUCUUUAUUAACAUGGUAAUCUGAUAUGAGAAUAUUUUAUGUAAGAAAAAUAAACUAUGAUGUAUGAUCAUGAGGUUUUAAUUUCUGUCGGGUUUUAUAUUGUAUUAUCGUAAUGAAGUUGAUGCAAUAUAAAUAAAGUGUUUAAUUAGCUAGACUAUAUAUCUUCUCUGUUGUUCAUAUGAGUGCUAUAC